GUAGGUGAACCUGCGGAAGGAUCAUUAUCGAAUAAACUAGGCGGGUUGUUGCUGUCUCUCUCGGGGGAAUGUGCACGCCUUAGCCUUCUUUAUAUCUCCACCUGUGCACACACUGUAGGUCUGGAAAGAAGGGAGAAGAUUCUCCGAGGCAACUCGGGUCGGGAGGAUUGCUGAGUGCCGCAAGGCGACGGCUGUCUUUCAAUUUCUCCCCUACAUCCAGGUCCUAUGUCCUUUACACAUACACUAUUGAAAGUAACAGAACGCUUCAAUGGGCUUUAAGCCUAUAAAUUAUAAUACAACUUUCAGCAACGGAUCUCUUGGCUCUC
rnacentral:misc_RNA from 1 species